rnacentral:rRNA from 1 species
UACGUAGGGUGCAAGCGUUGUCCGGAAUUAUUGGGCGUAAAGAGCUCGUAGGCGGUCUGUCACGUCGGAUGUGAAAAUCCAGGGCUUAACCCUGGACCUGCAUUCGAUACGGGCAGACUAGAGUUCGGUAGGGGAGACUGGAAUUCCUGGUGUAGCGGUGAAAUGCGCAGAUAUCAGGAGGAACACCGGUGGCGAAGGCGGGUCUCUGGGCAAUAACUGACGCUGAGGAGCGAAAGCGUGGGGAGCGAACAGG